GCCUAUUACACGGAAGAACAAACCGACUCAAUAAACUAUGGUAAACGUUUGGGACUGGCGCGUCUGAACGUUCGGCCGGUCGCGGCUCGCUAGCGACGAAGUGCAUGGGGCCACGCUAGCCACACGUCCACGUGACCCAUCGAGCACUCCCUCCCAUCAGUUUUUUAUUCCUUCCCUCCUUAUCUACUCCUUUCCUUCCAGCAUCUUCUUCCUCAUUACGAAGACAUCUCACUAGAAAACUCUAUCCACCGCCCAACUUGAGCUGUCGUGCUCUAGAUCCAUACCAAGCAUCCACGAGCUGGUUUUUGAGGGAGCCAGGCAGAGCUACGAGAGUGGGAGGCGGAGGGGAACUGGCUGACACCAAGAUAGCGGGAGGCGGAGGGGCGGCACAGCAAGCCGCAAGCCGCGACGGUGCCACUACAUGAUGCAACCGGCGGGAUGGGGAGCUGCAACCCCUUGCUAGCGGAGCUACAAUCGAGGCAUGGUUGAGCUGCAUCCAGUGACGGCCGCCGGACAGCUAGCUGCAAAGGGCGGUUCCCGGAGCUGCAACCGCCCGUUGGUCGAGCUGCAUACCGCGACGCACCCGACGACGAGCUGCAACCGUGCAGUACAAGCUGAUGGAGGGGCCGGCGACGACGAGCUACAAUAGGUGAUCUGGAUUGCCGGAUCUGGCUUUGCUGGAACAAGUGUUUUUUUUUGCUGGAACUAGUAAUUCUUUUUGCUACUAUCAUUUUCUUUGUUUGCUACAAUCAAAUCAAUUGUCAAUGGGAGUCUCCCUGUUGUUAUUUUUGCUGGAACCAGCAUUUAUUUUUGCUGGAACUAGCAUUUUUUUUGCUACAAUCGACCACUGAAGUUCUCCAGCUGAGAUUGAUUUUGCUGGCACCGAUGUCCUUUUUUGCUGGAACCUUAUAAUGUUUUUGCUUCAACCGAAGACUGAGGAUUUUGUUGCUUUUUAGAUCUUUUUUGCGGCGGCGACGGUGCUGUCGAUUUUUUCUAAUUUUGCUACCAACGUUUUAUUGGUUUUUGCUGGAACCGUCAAGAAUUUUUGAUACGACCGGUGGAAUUUUUUGCUGCGACCGGCAAAUUAAGGACGAGGAACAACACGAGCUCUACGGCGGGUGCUGCAGCCGGCGACGUGCGGCUCUACGAGCCGCGGGGAGCCUCGCCGGAGAUGCGCCGCGGCGGCCUUGCUGGAGCUGGGCCUCGCCGGAGAUGCGCCGCGGCGGCCUUGCUGGAGCUGCGCGGUGCUGCGAGCCGUGGGGAUCUCGCCGGAGAUGCGUCGUGCUGCGAGCUGCAGUUGAUCUCGCCGGAGAUGCGCCACGGGACCCGAGGAAGAAGAAGCUGGGGAUCAUUCGAAACCGGAGUACUGCACUAAGAGGUAAGCAGUGCAAGAUGCCGUACCUGUCGGACCUUGAAAGCAAUGUUGAACUACUGCAGCAGGAGACUAACUCACUACCUACAAGAGUGCAGUCGAUGGAGGUUUGUAAUUCUGCUGACUUAUUACAUGAUCAUGAGCAGAUGUUUUAGUGCUUUUGCUAUUUCUCUAUUUAUAAUUAUUUAAGUGAGAACCAGUUUAUUAGAUUACAGGAUUCAUGACUGUACAAAAUUAGAUUAAAAAAAUCUUAAUCUCGUGGUUGUAUCAUCCAUAUAUAAUGCGUUGAGAAAGGUUUUUCUAGAUAAAAAGGCAUAAAGUUGAAUUUAAAAUUAACGAAGGCAUCAACCAGAGCUAGAAUAUUUGGUGCUGAAUACAAAGGCAAAAAGCGUGAUAAAAACAUCUUUUUGUUAAGAAUUUACAUAAUAAAUUGAUGUUUUAUACAAUCUUCUUCUUAUUUCUUUUGAAUAUAUGUUUGUGGAGUACAACUGAUGAGCUUGUAACUGAAAACAAUAUGAUGAAGCUCAAGCUGCAUGGAUUGGAUCAACAAUACAAGCUGAUGAAUGAUAUUUUUCUCUCUUUCCUUGCAUCUCAAGUAACUUAUUUUAUGUUCUUGUGGUGAUGCACAAAGGAAAAUAGUGAUCACCAUUGUGCAAUACAAACCAACACACAUAACUUAUUUAUGCAUGAAGUGAGUUGGAGAUGGAUGAUGACAUACAGAUUUUUGAUUGUGAACUUAUACCAUAUGUUUAUGUUUUUUCCUUCUUGGUUAUAUGAGGUUUGGACAUUAGGAUCAAUAUGCUAUACUUAGCAUGUAUCUUGCUUUUUUACUAUAUAUAUUUCUCACAAAAUAUGUGUAUAUCACUAAGUUUGCCUCACUAGGAGCCUUAAACAAAAAUGAUAUACACGGAAUAGGAACAUCGAUCAUAUCGCACAAAUGCAAGUUCCGAUAAUUAUUGUGUUAUCACUGAUCCGAUUAAUUUCCUUAGCAUUCAGUUCUUGCAACCCUUGUCAUCAAUUUCGAGAGGUAAAUUAAUUAUUUUUUAUGCGCCAAUAUGUGCACUCGCACAUGCUAGCUAUUUUGCACCUCCCGGUUUUAUUUGCAGUAAAUCAACUAUGACAAUUCAAGGUUUUUAAGCUUAGAAUGUGUUAUGUGGAUUAUGUCAUGUUCUGAUGUGUAUUUUGCAUUUUGCUUCUAAAAUCCACAUAGUGAGUCAAUUCAGAAGUCUAUUUAAUUUUUUUGUCUAAUAUGUCUCUUCCAUUUGGUACGAAAACUACUUUUUUUCAUUUUAAAACUUGUUUACAUUUUAUCGAUUAUUUUGAUACCUUUGAUUGCCCACAAUCAUGUUAGCAUGACUUUUAGACAUGGUAAUUAACUUUUCGACUCUAUGCCCUCGCUUGGCCCCCUAGUUAUUUACUCCACAUUAACAUGUGCAAUCUUCUUUCUGUGGAUCAUUUGUACGACAUUGUUCCUUUUUACCUAGUCCAAUGACUAAGUUGGGUAUACGUUCAUGUUUCUGUAUACUGUUCUGAAUAAAACACUGGUUGUUGAAGUCUAACGCCUCAUAAUGCUCCAGCAAUAUCAACAUGUUCUUACAUGUACAAUAUCUUCUCCAUUGGUGCACGACAUGUAAUAUAAGUGGCAUGUCCUAGCUUAUUUACUUAUAUUACAUGAUGAAUACAUGUUUUUACAUGUACAAUAUCUUCUCCAUUUGAGCACGACGUGUCUAGGGCACCGUGCUCUCUGUUUCGAUCUUGUGAAGUAUGACGGUUCGAGGGAUAUAUGCUGAUAAAGAUAGGAAGUAGACCAUGGUGAAUAAGCUCCUCUUAGUGUUUUUGUUAACAGAAAAUAUUGUUGUUUCUUCCUGGGAAAGAAAUAAACUAGUAGAUUUUUUACAAGAUCAAUACACCUAUCCACAACAUCAUCUGCAAAUACAAAUUUAGCUUUCAUGUCGGGGCAUAGCGGGAGCCUCGAAUAUGCCUUCCCUUAGGUCGCACUCAGAUUGCAAUUAACUUGUUUUUGCUCCACUUCUCUACCCGCCUUCUAGUCGCUCUUGUUCUCUGGCAUUUAGGCCCGUGUGAAGUAGGACGCUAGUGUCAAGUAGGAAGCUUUGGACUACAUCUGGGAGAGGUUCCAGCUAGCUAGGGAGGAAUACUGGCAUUGUUAACGUAUCAACCUAAUUUCUAACAAAAGUUUUAAGUUACUAUAUCAAUCGCUAUCUAGGAAUUUAUUGCGCUUUCAGUGACUUGCGUAAAUAUAUCUAUAAUGCAUUUAUCAACCAUUUCAUAAAUUAUUUAACACUCACUUUAGUAUUUCUCUUCUACAUAAUAAACUUAUUUUCAUCAAUCUCCAUGAGGUGUCUUGAACCUUACCUACCUCAUAAAUAGUUUAUGUGUACGCUCUUUCGUGUGAAAUUUAUUUGCAGGUCAUUUGAAACCGGAGUACUGCACUAAGAGGUAAGCAGCGCAAGAUGGCUUACCUGUUGGGCCUUGAAAACAAGGUUGAGCUACUGUAGCAGUAGGCUAACUCACUACCUGCACAAGUGUAUUUGAUGAAGAGUACAGCUGAUUGGCUUGCAAGUGACAACAAUAUGAUGAAGCUCAAGUUGCAGGGAUUGGAGCAACAAUAUAAGCUGUUGAUUGAGUUGACGAUGGUCAGUGGAACGAUGGUGGGCAGGUGGUUGCGGUCGGCGGUGCAGGACAUGAAAGAAAAUAACCGGAUAGAGGUUUUAUAUCCGUGUCGAAAAUGCAAAGGAAUAGUUUGGCUCGACCCCCAUGACGAUGGUCGUGUCAAAGCGCACCUGCUCAUGACUGGUUUCAUGGAUGGCUAUACUCGGUGGAUAAUUAAAGAUGAGGAUGACGAUGUUGAGGAUGCCGACGGGGCAGGCAAUGAUGACACAGGGCAAAACGAAGAGAUGAUCGAUAAUGGCGGCGGGGAAGAGGCCGGACAUGGCGGCGGAGAAGGGGCCGGACAUGGCGGAGGAGAAGGGGCCGGACAUGGCAGUGGAGAGAACGACAUGGACUCCAUACAGCAGAGUUCGUCGGUACUAAGUUCAAUUGUGCGGGACCCUCAUGUUCAAGCAUUGCUUCGCAAAGAGACGAGUACUGAGAGAGCUGCUUCUAGAGAGGAGGCUAAGCUAGAGCAACUGGUGGUAGACUCGAACACUCCAUUGUAUGAUGGUUGCAAUCCUAUGGUGACCCGCUUGAGUUUCACGCUCCAACUCCUGAAGACGAAGGCUAAAAACAAAUGGACCGACACUAGCCUCGAUGAGCAUCUCAAGUACCUAAAGGAUGUUCUUCCCGCGGGUAAUCUAUGUCCUACUAGUGUUGAUGAGGCCAAGAAGAUCGUGUGCCCUCUUGAUCUGCCACACGUUAGAUACCAUGCAUGCAUCAACGAUUGCAUAAUUUAUCGGAAGGAGCAUGUGGAAAAAACAAGCUGUCCGGUGUGCAAUGCUUCUCGAUACAAGAAGGUCGGGAAGAAAUGUCCCUAGAAAGUUGUAUGGUACUUACUGAUCACUCCCCGUCUCCAGAGGUAUUUUGUAGAUCCCAAGGAAGCUAAGCUAAUGCGCUGGCACGUGGAGAGGAAGAAGCCCGACGAUGGAGAUGGAAGCAUCGUCUAGGGCUAUUUGGCACAAGAGUGCAUCUCUUUCUGUGAGAAUUUUCUAUAUGGCGCAGACCAGCCACCUGGUGUUAGUGUUGGUUUGCCCGUUAACAAGCACGAUGGGAGGCUCGAAGGAGAUGGUCACUGCAACGAUCGCAGGGAACUGCACGUGGCAUACUCAGAUCGAUGCAGCGACUUUGACAGAGCAAACUUGGUAGUGCUACAACACCUAGACGAGGUAGAUCCUUUUGUGGCACUGCACAAAGAAAUUAUCGCAAAGAAGUAUCGUGACCGGGGGGUAUGCAGGACGGACGCCGAAGUUACUAGAGAGCACAACUCCACUUUCCUGCAUUGGUUCAAAGAGCAUAUUAUUGCUAAUCCCCCGGAGGAGGGCUCUAAGAACGGAUUGCUCAUAUACGCCUUAGCACAUGGCCCCUCGCCCAACCUCGUAACCUAUCAGGCAUAUGAUAUCAACGGAUACACGUUCUACACGGAGGCCAAAGAUAUGGACAGUGAUGAUCAGAACUCAGAGGUGACGAUGGAAUGCCUAAGAAAAAUCGUACUCCAUGGAAAAGGCAAAGUCACAAUGAGGGGCUCAAUUAUUCUUCGAC
rnacentral:rRNA from 1 species